rnacentral:lncRNA from 1 species
CGGCCGCGGAGGGCGCGCCUUGGAGGGAGAGGACUUUAGGUGACGCCGCCAGGAGGCGAAAUUUCACCUGCCAGCAGCUCUGGAGGUCAAAAGAAAUGAGACUGCUGGGCUAAGAUCAAGGUGUCAGCAGGGCUGUAUUCCUUCCCAAGGCUCCAGGGGAGAAUCUGUUCACUUGCCUUUCCCAGCUUCUAGAGGUUGCCUACAUUCCUUGGCUUGCGGACCCUUCCUCCAUCUCCAGAAUCAGUAACGGUGAGUUGAGUCUUCGUCACAUCACAUCACUCUGAUUUCUUCAGUAGUGAUCCCUCUGAUUCUUCUAUUCUUGAGGCCCCCUGUGAUGACAUUGGGCCCAUUCAAAUCAUCCAGGAUAAUUUCUCCAACUGCCAAGUCCCUUUGCCUUGCAAGAUAACUGUGAUAAUGUGAAGUAUAUAUUUGGUCUUUGUCCUGGCAUGCAAUUCCUAAAAUCCUUGGAAUCAGCAAAUUGGUGUUUUUUUGUAUGCUAAUUAGUUGACUGAUGACUCACAGUCCCUAGGUAGCUUUAGGAUGGGACUGGUCACUGGAAAGACCAAGGUAGGAUUAGAGGCUUGAGACUUUCAGCCCUCCCCCUCAACCUCUGGGGAGGAGACAGGGGCUGAAGCUUAAGCUGAUCAAUCAUUCCUAGGUAAUGAAGCCUCCAUAAAAUCCCAAAAGAAAUGGGUUUGGAGAACUUCCAGAUAGCUGAAUGCAUGGAGUUUCCUGGAGGGAGGCGCACUCAAAGAGGGCAUGCGUGGAAGCUCUUGCCCUAUGCAUCUUUUCAUCUGAAUCCUUUGUAACAUCCCUUGUAAGAAGUCAGUCUAUGUGUCUUCCUGAGUUCUGUGAGCUGCCCUAGCAAAUUAAUUGAACAUGAAGAGAGGGUUGUGGGAAAUGCAAUUUAUAGCUGGUUAGUCAGAAGCGCAGGUGAAACAACCUGGGGCUGGCAACUGGCCUCAGAAGUGGGUGGCAGUUUUGUGGGACUGAGCCCUUAACCUAUGGGGUCUGAUGAUAUCGCCAGGUAGUUAGUGUUGGAAUUGAACUGGAGCAUACCCAGCUGGUAUCUGCUGUAGAACUGAUUGCUUAUGUCAACCAAGAAGAGGUGAAAGGGCCAGGCAUGGUGGCUCACGCCUGUAAUCCCAGCACUUUGGGUGGCCGAGGCAGGGCGGAUCACGA